GUUGCCAUCGGGCGAGCCGGGCACUCUGGAGGGACGUGCCGGCGACAAAGCCGGACGGAAGGUGGGGAGUGACGUCAAGUCAUCAUGGCCCUUAUGUCCAGGGCGACACACGUGCUACAAUGGCCGGCACAGCGGGAAGCGGAGGGGCGACCCUGAGCGGAUCCCUUGAAAGCCGGUCCCAGUUCGGAUUGCAGUCUGCAACUCGACUGCAUGAAGUUGGAAUCGCUAGUAAUCGCGGAUCAGCCAAGCCGCGGUGAAUACGUUCCCGGGCCUU
rnacentral:rRNA from 1 species